rnacentral:rRNA from 1 species
AACGACUCUCGGCAACGGAUAUCUCGGCUCUCGCAUCGAUGAAGAACGUAGCGAAAUGCGAUACUUGGUGUGAAUUGCAGAAUCCCGUGAACCAUCGAGUCUUUGAACGCAAGUUGCGCCUGAAGCCAUCAGGCUGAAGGCACGUCUGCCUGGGCGUCACGC